AAACCGAUAGAUUUGAUCGUCGGUUAGGGCACUGAGAUGUUACUGCUGAGCAGUGAGCAUAAUAAUCUUUAAUCAGUGGUGUAUUGGUAAAUAAAUUCUAAACUAUACGCCUGACUCUUAUUAAGAGCUAUAUCCCAACUGUGACUUUUUAAAUAUUUUUAAGCGUACAAAAAAAAAAUAUCUCUUUUUGGAAUUUAUAAAUAAAUAAUGCUUAACAAUAAGAUACAUCUAUGGA